GUUUUAUGAUAUCUGUGUGAACCAUGCAGCCAGUCAGAAAUGGACUUUUUCUCAGAUCAAGAUGGAAGGUUUCCCCCCACCCUCAGAUAAAGGUAUAUAAAGUCCUUCCUUGAAGAAAUGAGGGAGAUUCUUUGAAUGAAACUACAUUUCCCAAAACAUUAAUCUCUUAUUAUGCCUGUUGCAUAACUGGGACUCAAUUGACACUCAGUAUUUGGGAAUGAGAGAACAGAUGGAAAUAUUUUGUUGGCUGAAACAAGUUAUAUAUAAAGAUUUGAGUUUCUAUCUGGCAUGGAGUUUAAUCCCUUCAUUUUUUCAGCAAGUGACAAUGUUCAAUAGAUACGCAAGAGCACUUUACUCUUUAAAAUUGGAAAAUCAUCAACUCUCUAGUGGAAUGAAGACCUUUCUUUUCCUGAUACCCUGUACAACUCAAGUUUACAUGGGAAGUAUGAAUAACUUGGCAGAGUAACAACUACUAUAAGGGCUUACUCAGAGAAGAAUUUCAUAGAUCUGCAUUACACAGAGCUGGUCAUCAAAAAUCACUUGAGAGUCCACUGAAUUCACUAGAUUCAAGGUCAACAGACAACUUGGCCUGUUCAAG
rnacentral:lncRNA from 1 species